AUAAUUCAUUACAUCCAUCCAAGAAAAAAAACAUCUCGCCUCCUUCCACUCUCUUCUCCUUUACGAUCUGCAUUCUUCUUCUCCUUCCUCUUUUUCUAGACUCUACUACACCUUGGUCUUCUUAGUUCUCGUCUUUCUACUCAUAUUCCCUUUGUUUAUUUUUUUCUUUUAAAUCGAAGCUUUAAUCCAUAAUUAACAAUGGCACCCUCAACUUGAUCUACCUUCAAUGACCUUACAGCGUGAGUGAAAAUGAUAGAAACAGACUCAUAAACCUCGUUCAAUGCAACCUCACUUAAAGGUGAAAUAGGGCUGUCGGCGUACGCCGUUGCUGUCACCGUUACCAUCACAGCUAGCCACAGCCACAACCGCUCAUGAGAACUGAUAUAUUGUAUUUGUAAUGGGUUUUUAGUGGAUUUCAAUUUUUAAUAUGUAAACCGAAAUAGAAACCGAAUAAAUCAAAGAAAAAAAAUUUCGGUUCAAUUUCGGAAUAUAAAUUUUAGUCAAUAACCGACACGAAUAAACCGACUUUUGAACCGACCCGAACCGAAUU